rnacentral:rRNA from 1 species
AGUGGGGAAUUUUGGACAAUGGGGGAAACCCUGAUCCAGCCAUGCCGCGUGAGUGAAGAAGGCCUUCGGGUUGUAAAGCUCUUUUGGCCGGGAAGAAAGGGUUCGGGCGAAUAACCUGGGUCUUUGACGGUACCGGCAGAAUAAGCACCGGCUAACUACGUGCCAGCAGCCGCGGUAAUACGUAGGGUGCGAGCGUUAAUCGGAAUUACUGGGCGUAAAGCGUGCGUAGGCGGUUCGUUAUGUCUGCUGUGAAAUCCCCGGGCUCAACCUGGGAAUGGCAGUGGAAACUGGCGGGCUUGAGUGUGGCAGAGGGGGGUGGAAUUCCGCGUGUAGCAGUGAAAUGCGUAGAGAUGCGGAGGAACACCGAUGGCGAAGGCAGCCCCCUGGGCUGACACUGACGCUGAGGCACGAAAGCGUGGGGAGCAAA